rnacentral:rRNA from 1 species
AGAGUUUGAUCAUGGCUCAGGAUGAACGCUAGCUACAGGCUUAACACAUGCAAGUCGAGGGGCAUCAGUUUGGUUUGCUUGCAAACCAAAGCUGGCGACCGGCGCACGGGUGAGUAACACGUAUCCAACCUGCCUCAUACUCGGGGAUAGCCUUUCGAAAGAAAGAUUAAUAUCCGAUAGCAUAUAUUUCCCGCAUGGGUUUUAUAUUAAAGAAAUUCGGUAUGAGAUGGGGAUGCGUUCCAUUAGUUUGUUGGGGGGGUAACGGCCCACCAAGACUACGAUGGAUAGGGGUUCUGAGAGGAAGGUCCCCCACAUUGGAACUGAGACACGGUCCAAACUCCUACGGGAGGCAGCAGUGAGGAAUAUUGGUCAAUGGACGCGAGUCUGAACCAGCCAAGUAGCGUGAAGGAUGACUGCCCUAUGGGUUGUAAACUUCUUUUAUAUGGGAAUAAAGUUGUCCACGUGUGGAUUUUUGUAUGUACCAUAUGAAUAAGGAUCGGCUAACUCCGUGCCAGCAGCCGCGGUAAUACGGAGGAUCCGAGCGUUAUCCG